AAACUACUUGCUUACAAAAUCAGACAUAAAAAUACAAAAGUAUCAUGGCGCGCUGUUACUGAAAAAUUGUUUGCUUUCUCAUUUUUACCAUAUAGUUAUAAAUCAAGUGGAGUAUAAAUAGUUCAGCGUAUAGUAUGUAGAGCAGUAUAAACGUCAUUGUCUAUAUGAAACUUUAGUUUGUACUGACUUUGCUAGUGCUUUUUAUGUAGCCUGUUGUAAAACUAGGCAAAUAAUUAGAGUUGAUGUGGAAGACCUCUGUGUAUCCCCAGGGGUACACAUACCCCUGUUUGAGAACCACAGGAUUAGAUUAUGUAUUGUGGAAGGAUACAAGGCAUCAGAAAUUUCAGUCCAGAAGCGGUCAGGACACACUCCUACAAUCCUUGGUGACAUCAUGUGCAAAAUAGCUCAUGCAUUUACAGCAGAAAUUUGUAAGGUGGCCACAUGGUCAACUACUACCAUUGUUAGCAAGCAUUACAAGGUGGACUUCCGGUUCCGUGCACUGGUGAGCUGAGCAGGAAGGUGCUGGAGGUGAUGGCUUAGAAAUGAUUUUUGCCUUUGAGCAAAUGUUAUGAGCAGGGAGGGGAUACUGUUUUCCUUUUCUUCUGACCUUCUCUAUGCCCUCCCUACAUCUGUUCACUGCUCGACAAGUCCCAGAGAAUUGUGGGAAAUUCUGGGCUACAGUAUAGAAAAGUUCUUAUUGAUGAUUUCCUUUCUGCUAGCAGUCUCUCCCACAAGUCUAUUCACUUGGCCUCGAGCCAAAAAGUCAGCUGCUGAGUGGGAUCUUUAAGAUGGGCUUUUUUUUUCUGUUGUGGUCCACUGAACAUAGUUGGUCAGUUACCUCUGAAGUAUUAGUUACUAAUAUUAUUAUACAAUUUUUACAGCUUUGGAAUAACUCAUCUGUCCACAAGCAGGAGCCGAGGAGGCAUGGCCAGAGUGGUGGCAACAAAAAGCUGAUCUGUCUCUGUGAACUGCAAGAGCGAGCAGAGCAGCCCAGAUGUCAAGAACUAUGGAAGACGUGGCUAGCAGAAAGGUAAUUAUUGGUCAUACUCUCCUCCAGAACCUUCAGUGAAACUCAAGAUUCCUGAAUCUCAGCAUUCCUCUGCAGUCAACAAAUAUCUGUGAAACCCACUGGCAAAGUGCAUGUCUCAUCCUGCCUCCAGUGCUGAUACACAUAGGGAAUGACAAACUACUAUUGAUAUCAGAUACUCCAUUAGUUCAAGUGGCAGAGGUCUGUGCUGAGGAUCUUAAGGCUCCAACCUUGCUGAUGAUGUGUUGAAGGUGUCUGGACCCCUUCCUCAUUAGUUCAAAGGUGUUGCAGUACAGCAUGCAGAGUUUUGGAUUCCAGAUCACACCAGCCCCAUUGUAACUGAAAACUAUGGGUUCUGUGGGAAACAAUGGCAACUGAAAGGGACAACUUGCACCAGUGUGCAGAAUUGUGUUCUCUCCCAGUAAUGUGGCAAGUCCUUUAGAACAAACUUUUCAUAGCUGCCCACUAAUUGUGUUUUCACUUUCUGCUUGCCCAACUUGAGACCCUGGAGUCUGAUUUGCAAAAGUUCUGAGCAUUCACAGAUGCAACUAAAGUCAGUGGGAGCUGUGCUUUGAACAUAAAGUGUUAUAAAAAUGCUAACUAUUCCCUGAAAAAUCAGAAUGCAGAGGUCUGAAAUUGGGCAACCGAAGUUUAUGGACACUUUUGAUGUUAAUCUCAGUUUCAGUACCCCAUUUAUAAAAAGGGGAUAUCACCUCAUCUCACAUGGGAGUUACAAAUAUAAGUUCAUUAAUACUUGUGAAGCACUCAGAUACCAUAGUGAAGACUACCAUAG